UAGUCCACGCCGUAAACGAUGGACACUAGUUGUUGGGAUUUAUCUCAGUGACUAAGCGAAAGUGAUAAGUGUCCCACCUGGGGAGUACGAUCGCAAGAUUGAAACUCAAAGGAAUUGGCGGGGGCCCGCACAAGCGGUGGAGCAUGUGGUUUAAUUCGAUGAUACGCGAGGAACCUUACCAGGGCUUAAAUGUAAGUUGCAUGAUUUAGAGAUAGAUCUUUCUUCGGACUACUUACAAGGUGCUGCAUGGUUGUCGUCAGCUCGUGCCGUGAGGUGUCAGGUUAAGUCCUAUAACGAGCGCAACCCCUGUUGUUAGUUGCCAGCAUGUAAAGAUGGGAACUCUAACAAGACUGCCAGUGCAAACUGUGAGGAAGGUGGGGAUGACGUCAAAUCAUCACGGCCCUUACGUCCUGGGCUACACACGUGCUACAAUGGCCGGUACAGAGAGCAGCCACACCGCGAGGUGGAGCGAAUCUAUAAAACCGGUCUCAGUUCGGAUCGG
rnacentral:rRNA from 1 species